AAAAACAAUAUGAGCCUGAGUUAAAAGAAAUAUCAAUAGUAAUAAAGAGAAAUUUUUUCCUUCUUUAGCCGACCUACAAGGAGAAAUUAAGAUAGUUAAAAAGAAUUAAAAAAAGAACAUAAUAAAAUUAAACAAAACAUCAUUCAGUUACAAGUUAAUAAAAUUAUAGAUGUUCAAACAAAAACCUCAGAAAAUAAGAAAAUAAAUAAUUUGGCUGAAACAUUAUCUUAUGAUGAGUUUAUUAAUGUAAUAUUUAGAAUAAGCUUUCAGAUUGGAUAAUUUUAGUUAAAUUAGUAGUUGAAAAUGAUUUUCAUUUAACUAAGACUGCAUUAGUUGACUCUGGUGCAGAUCAAAAUUGUUUGCAAAAAAGAUUAAUUCCAACUAUAUGUUAUGAAAAAACUAAGAAAAUGUUAUACAUAGCUGAUUGUAGUAAGUUAAGAGUAGAAUAUAAAUUAAUAAAAGCAAAAAUAUGUACUGACGGUUUUUGUUUUAAAAUGCCCUUUAUUUUAGUUAAAAACCUUACUACAAGAGUAAUACUAGGAACACUUUUUUUAGCUACUAUCUAUCCCUUUAAAGUAGAUAAUGAAGGAUUAAAAAAAAUAUCUUAAAUAAUCAAAUAUCUUUUAAUAUUAUGCAACCAAUUAGACAAAAUGAUUUAAGUGGUAUACAAGAUAUUUCUAUAUAUAAAGAAAUAAAUCUCAUUGAACAAAAACAAAAACAUAUUAGCUAUUUGAAACAAGAGAUUAAUAACAUUAGGAUUGAAAAUCAAUUACAACAGACUCACAUACAACAAAAAAUUAAAGACUUUGAAGAACUUUUAAAUAAAGAAGUAUGUUCAAAUACUCUGAAGCCUUUUGGUCUAGAAAACGACAUAUAGUUCAUUUACCUUAUAUAAAAGAUUUUGAUGAGAAAAUUAUCCCAACUAGAUCUAAAGCUAUACAAAUGAAUAAACAAUUACAAGAAUAUUGUUACAAAGAGAUAAAUGAUUUAUUAGAUAAAGGAUUAAUUAGAAAAUCUAAGUCCCCUUAGAGCUGUUUAGCUUUUUAUGUCCAGAAUGUGGCAGAAAUAGAAAGAGGAGCACCCAAAUUAGUUAUUAAUUAUAAACCUUUAAAUAAAGUAUUACAAUGGAUUAGGUAUCCUAUAUUAAAUAAAAGAGAUUUGUUAAAAAUGUUACAUAGUGCAAAUAUAUUUUUUAAAUUUGACAUGAAAUCAGGUUUUUGGCAAAUACAAAUAUACGAAUAUGAUAGAUACAAGACUUGUUUUAAUGUCCCCUUUUGUCAUUAUGAGUAGAAUGUUAAUAAACCUUUAAAUAAAGUAUUACAAUGGAUUAGAUAUCUCAUACCAAAUAAAAGAGAUUUGUUAAAAAGGUUAUAUAGUGCAAAUAUAUUUUCUAAAUUUGAUAUGAAAUCAGGUUUUUGGCAAAUACAAAUACAUGAAUCUGAUAGAUACAAGACUGAUUUUAAUGUUCCCUUUGGUCACUAUGAGUAGAAUGUUAUGCUAUUUUAUUUGAAAAAUGCCCCUUCUGAAUUUUAAAAUAUUAUGAAUGACAUUUUUAACAAUUAUCAUGAGUUUUCAAUAGUUUACAUCGAUGAUGUGCUUAUUUAUUCAAAUGAUAUUGAUCAACAGUUUUCUAAUUUGAAAAAGUUUUAUAAUAUAGUUAAGCAAGCUGUUUUUUCUCCAAAAGUUAAACUAUUUUAAACUAAAAUAAGAUUUUUAGGACAUGACAUUUUUCAAGGUACUAUUAAACAGAUUGACAGAUCAAUUAACUUUACUGAAAAGUUUUCAUAUGAAAUUAUUGACAAAAAUCAAUGACAAAGAUUUCUAGAAUGUCUGAAAUAUGUUGCUGAUUUCAUGAAAGAUAUUCGAAUCUUAUAUCAAUCAUUGUUCAAAAUGGGCGAUCAAAAAUUCUAGUUAGGGUAACUAAAGUUCAUUGGUUUGCAUAAGCUUUCAAUUUAUUAACAAGCAUGUUGAGCUUCUAAAUCUUACAAAUGAGUUCCUCUUUAUAAAUACAUUAGCUUUUAGUUAAAAACAACAAUGUAAUAAAUUAAGUAGCAUGAGCACACAUUGUUACCUAUAAUGGUAAAUAAACAUAAUCAUCAAAAUGUCCAAUAAGCAUACCCGAUCAUAAUUUCUUUAAAGACUCUCAUAGUGGAGAGGUCCCCCUUUUGCCCAAGGACUACAAUGCUUAUUACCCUCAUCAUAUUCACUUGACCCACCUCCAACUCUAAGCCAACGAUUGAAUCGUUUAAAGCCAAACACAGCUGUGGCAUCUACUGCAAGGCUAUCACCUGUUGAAGCCAAAAAACAAUAUCUGUGUUGAUGCUUUCUUAUUGAAACGAAAGGAAACUGAAUUCCAUAAGAGACAAAAUAGCAUAAUUGCAUGUAUGCAAUGUGUUAUGCUUAAAAGUGUUCUAACAAAACAAAAAAUAAAUGUAAACACAAAUUGGGAAAGAAACGAUAACAUAAACUCUAUAUAGCCCAACUUCGCAUAACAAAAAAACAUAAUCAUUAAUACCAAUCUAGUUAGCCUUCCGGUAAGGGCCACUUUCUACCAUACUUUAGCUUAGGUGUGCAUUCAUAAAAAGGAGUGACAGCUAGUCCUUUUAAGCAUUUCUACCAUUUUUUACAGCUGUACCCCAAAACUAGAUGCAAAAGCCUAAUCCCUCAAGCUCAAAUUGGGCAUUUAGCAUACAUAUGAGAGUGGUACCAGGGAAUGGCACCAUAGUGCCUGCUCUCAACAUGAUCAAACCUUCUUUAGUCUAGGAGCUCAGUUUGUCAUUUUAAUCCUCUAAGUAGCCAGCUAGCUUCUAUAAAUCGAGGUGAAAAUAUAUAAAUUACUUAACAACUUCAAACUAUUAUGAAUUAAUUGUUAUUAAUAUUAUCCAUUAUCAAAGUAAUGGAUUCAUAUGUAGGAUGAUUGGAGCUCCUAAAGCACUUACGCUAGAUGUAAUUGUUGCAUAAUUAAAUAUGUAUAUAUAAUAUACUUUUAUUUUGUUAUGUAUGCAAAUGCUAGUUGUUGCAAGCAACUAUUAUAAUUCUUAAGAUUGUAUAUAUGAACAUAAAAUAAGCCAAGUAAAACAUGAAAAGGAUGUAAAUGAAUGCGGCAUUUUGAUCUGUCAAAGAGAUCUUAUAAAUAUAUGACUUGAUAUUAGAUUUCUAAAGUUUCACAAAUAUAUGUAUGUGCAUGCACGCAAUCUUGCUUGAGUCUUUUAUCUCUUAAAAUGAAAGUGGGACUAAUCUCUAAUAAGAAUCUUUCUAAAUGGUUGAUAUACCAAUCUUAUACAUAAUGCUCAAUUUUUUUUAUUAGCAAUUUUGUGCAAAAGUUGAUUACUUCAAUGUGUGGAAUUCUCCAAAAUAAUCUCAAUUUCAUGGAAUUCUAUCAAACCUAAAUGAAAAAGCUCCUAUUUCAUCUUACAUUUAAAUUUCAAUAUAGAUUAACACCCUCAAAGAUCAGUUUUGCAAAAACAAAAUUAAAAUGUCUUUACAAGGAUAAAAUCUGCAUUUAGCGAAAACCUUUAAGCAGCAAUUUUUAAUAAAAAUCCCCAAGAGACUAUUUUUCAUAAUAAAAUUUGCAUUUCAUUGGCAAAACCUACCUUUAUGUGAGUGAGAAACUAAUCCAGAUGAUCCAGAACGCCGUCCUGCAUAGGUACAAAAAAAAAUGUUAAAAAUAUUCUAAUUUUUCAAGCCAGUGAGGAGAUCAUGCCAAAGAUCAGCAAUUUAUAGUACCUCCUCCCCUCCUCACCCCAUUCAGACUAGCACAUAUAUACUUGUGAAAGAAAUUUUGGUGGAUCCGCAAUGAUAAAAUAGUGCCGUGCCGAUUUGGGUUUUUUUUUUUCA
rnacentral:lncRNA from 1 species